rnacentral:rRNA from 1 species
UACGUAGGGUGCAAGCGUUAAUCGGAAUUACUGGGCGUAAAAGCGUGCGCAGGCGGUUCGGAAAGAAAAGAUGUGAAAUCCCAGGGCUUAACCUUGGAACUGCAUUUUUUAACUACCGGGCUAGAGUGUGUCAGAGGGGGGGUGGAAUUCCACGUGUAGCAGUGAAAUGCGUAGAUAUGUGGAGGAACACCGAUGGCGAAGGCAGCCCCCUGGGAUAACACUGACGCUCAUGCACGAAAGCGUGGGGAGCAAACAGG